CGCGUGGUUCUGAUCUUUCACUUCCAAGGAAACAAAGGAAGGAUGUGAGAGGGGAUCGAUCACUUUCAGAUAAGCAUUCACGGAACCAUGUUACUGAUGCUUCACAAGAAUCACCAGCGGAUCUUUCUCCACAUAGGGAAAAGCAAAAAGCACUACCGGUUUCAGUCUCCUUCAAACAAGCACGCAAGACUGGUUUGCUUACUCAGCAAGAGUUUGGGGAAGAAAUGUCUAAAACUAACAAAGAAGACUGGACGAGGUUUAAAGAGAUGAAUCCUUCCGCAAGUAGUAAUGCAGAGCCAGUGUAUCGUGACAAGAUUAAAGGAG
rnacentral:misc_RNA from 1 species